rnacentral:tRNA from 1 species
GCCGCAGUAGCUCAGUUUUGGUUAGAGCGCGUCAUUGGUAAUGACGAGGUCCCGGGUUCGAGCCCCGGCUGUGGCU